GGGGGUGCAAGCGUUGUCCGGAAUCAUUGGGCGUAAAGCGUUCGUAGGCGGCAAGGUAAGUCUGAUGUUAAAGCCCGGGGCUAAACUCCGGUUCGGCAUUGGAUACUAUCUAGCUAGAAUGUGGUAGAGGUAAAGGGAAUUCCUGGUGUAGCGGUGAAAUGCGUAGAUAUCAGGAGGAACAUCGGUGGCGAAAGCGCUUUACUGGACCAUUAUUGACGCUGAGGAACGAAAGCCAGGGGAGCAAA
rnacentral:rRNA from 1 species